rnacentral:tRNA from 1 species
GGGGAUAUAGCUCGGUGGUAGAGCGUGUGCUUGGCAUGCACAAGGUCCUAGGUUAUUCCCCAGUACCUCCA